AUAUAAUUUAAAACAGUAUAUAUGAUGUAGAAUCUAAUGUGUAAU
rnacentral:guide_RNA from 1 species